AGUGAACGCUGGCGGUAGGCCUAACACAUACAAGUCGAACGGCAGCACAGUAAGAGCUUGCUCUUACGGGUGGCGAGUGGCGGACGGGUGAGGAAUACAUCGGAAUCUACUUUUUCGUGGGGGAUAACGUAGGGAAACUUACGCUAAUACCGCAUACGACCUACGGGUGAAAGCAGGGGAUCUUCGGACCUUGCGCGAUUGAAUGAGCCGAUGUCGGAUUAGCUAGUUGGCGGGGUAAAGGCCCACCAAGGCGACGAUCCGUAGCUGGUCUGAGAGGAUGAUCAGCCACACUGGAACUGAGACACGGUCCAGACUCCUACGGGAGGCAGCAGUGGGGAAUAUUGGACAAUGGGCGCAAGCCUGAUCCAGCCAUACCGCGUGGGUGAAGAAGGCCUUCGGGUUGUAAAGCCCUUUUGUUGGGAAAGAAAAGCAGCAGGUUAAUACCCCGCUGUUCUGACGGUGCCCAAAGAAUAAGCACCGGCUAACUUCGCG
rnacentral:rRNA from 1 species